rnacentral:rRNA from 1 species
GCAUAUCAAUAAGCGGAGGAAAAGAAACUAACAAGGAUUCCCCUAGUAACGGCGAGUGAAGAGGGAAAAGCUCAAAUUUGUAAUCUGGCACCUUCGGUGUCCGAGUUGUAAUCUCUAGAAGUGUUUUCUGCGCUGAACCACAUUCAAGUCCGUUGGAACACGGCGUCAUAGUGGUGAGAACCCAGUAUAUGAUGUGGAUGCUCAGUGCUUUGUGAUACACUUUCGACGAGUCGAGUUGUUUGGGAAUGCAGCUCAAAUUGGGUGGUAAAUUCCAUCUAAAGCUAAAUAUUGGCGAGAGACCGAUAGCGAACAAGUACCGUGAGGGAAAGAUGAAAAGCACUUUGGAAAGAGAGUUAAAAGUACGUGAAAUUGUUGAAAGGGAAACGUUUGAAACUAUACUUGCUUUGCAGUUCGCUGUAUUGCAGGCCAGCAUCAGUUUUUAGGGGCAGAAAAGGGUAUUGAGAAUGUGGCAACCUCGGUUGUGUUAUAGCUCUUUACUGGAUCUGUCCCCGGGGACUGAGGACCGCAGCUUUGCUUAGGAUGUUGGUUUGGUUUUAAACGACCCGUCUUGAAACACGGACCAAGGAGUCUAACAUGUUUGCGAGUGUUUGGGUGUCAAACCCGAGCGCGUAAUGAAAGUGAAUGGAGGUGGGAUCCUCACGGAGCACCAUCGACCGAUCUUGAUUUUUCAUGACGGAUUUGAGUAAGAGCAAUUAUGUUGGGACCCGAAAGAUGGUGAACUAUGCCUGAAUAGGGUGAAGCCAGAGGAAACUCUGGUGGAGGCUCGUAGCGGUUCUGACGUGCAAAUCGAUCGUCAAAUUUGGGUAUAGGGGCGAAAGACUAAUCGAACCAUCUAGUAGCUGGUUCCUGCCGA